rnacentral:rRNA from 1 species
GACGAACGCUGGCGGCGUGCUUAACACAUGCAAGUCGAACGAAAAGAGGGAAAGAGCUUGCUCUUUCCGGAAUUGAGUGGCAAACGGGUGAGUAACACGUAAACAACCUGCCUUCAGGAUGGGGACAACAGACGGAAACGACUGCUAAUACCGAAUAAGUUCCAAGGGCCGCAUGGCCCAUGGAAGAAAAGGUGGCCUCUACCUGUAAGCUAUCGCCUGAAGAGGGGUUUGCGUCUGAUUAGCUGGUUGGAGGGGUAACGGCCCACCAAGGCGACGAUCAGUAGCCGGUCGGAGGGAGGGAACGGCCCCCCUGGAACGGGACCCCGGUCCCAACUCCUACGGGAGGCAGCGGGGGGGACUCUUCCGCAAUGGGGGAAAGCCUGGCGGGGCAACCCCGGGUGAGUGAUGGCGGCCUUCGGGUUGAAAAACUCUGGGACCCGGGAAGAAAAGGCAGGGUGCGAAAAACAAACUGCAUGGACGGUACCGGAAAAGCAAGCCACGGCUAACUACGU